UACAGGGGGGGCAAGCGUUGUUCGGAAUUACUGGGCGUAAAGGGUUCGUAGGUGGCCAACUAAGUCAAACGUGAAAUCCCUCAGCUUAACUGGGGAACUGCGUCUGAUACUGGAUGGCUUGAGUGCAGGAGAGGAACGCGGAAUUCCAGGUGUAGCGGUGAAAUGCGUAGAUAUCUGGAGGAACACCGGUGGCGAAGGCGGCGUUCUGGACUGCAGCUGACACUGAGGAACGAAAGCCAGGGGAGCAAACGGG
rnacentral:rRNA from 1 species